rnacentral:rRNA from 1 species
AACAGGAUUAGAUACCCUGGUAGUCCACGCCGUAAACGAUGUCGACUUGGAGGUUGUGCCCUUGAGGCGUGGCUUCCGGAGCUAACGCGUUAAGUCGACCGCCUGGGGAGUACGGCCGCAAGGUUAAAACUCAAAUGAAUUGACGGGGGCCCGCACAAGCGGUGGUGCAUGUGGUUUAAUUCGAUGCAACGCGAAGAACCUUACCUACUCUUGACAUCCAGAGAACUUAGCAGAGAUGCUUUGGUGCCUUCGGGAACUCUGAGACAGGUGCUGCAUGGCUGUCGUCAGCUCGUGUUGUGAAAUGUUGGGUUAAGUCCCGCAACGAGCGCAACCCUUAUCCUUUGUUGCCAGCGGUUAGGCCGGGAACUCAAAGGAGACUGCCAGUGAUAAACUGGAGGAAGGUGGGGGUGACGUCAAGUCAUCAUGGCCCUUACGAGUAGGGCUACACACGUGCUACAAUGGCGCAUACAAAGAGAAGCGACCUCGCGAGAGCAAGCGGACCUCAUAAAGUGCGUCGUAGUCCGGAUUGGAGUCUGCAACUCGACUCCAUGAAGUCGGAAUCGCUAGUAAUCGUGGAUCAGAAUGCCACGGUGAAUACGUUCCCGGGCCUUGUACACACCGCCCGUCACACCAUGGGAGUGGGUUGCGAAAGAAGUAGGUAGCUUAACCUUCGGGAGGGCGCUUACCACUUUGUGAUUCAUGACUGGGGUGAAGUCGUAACAAGGUAACC